rnacentral:rRNA from 1 species
CAGACCGUAAACGGUGGGCACUAGUUGUGGAAACCUUCCACGGUUUCUGCGACGCAGCUAACGCAUUAAGUGCCCCGCCUGGGGAGUACGAUCGCAAGAUUAAAACUCAAAGGAAUUGACGGGGCCCCGCACAAGCAGCGGAGCAUGCGGCUUAAUUCGACGCAACGCGAAGAACCUUACCAAGGCUUGACAUAUAGGGAAAAGUGGCAGAGAUGUCAUGUCCGCAAGGGCCCUAUACAGGUGGUGCAUGGUUGUCGUCAGCUCGUGUCGUGAGAUGUUGGGUUAAGUCCCGCAGCGAGCGCAACCCUCGUUCUGUGUUGCCAGCAUUUAGUUGGGGACUCACAGGAGACUGCCGGGGUUAACUCGGAGGAAGGUGGGGAUGACGUCAAAUCAUCAUGCCCCUUAUGUCUUGGGCUGCACGCAUGCUACAAUGGCCGGUACAGAGGGCUGCAAUACCGUAAGGUGGAGCGAAUCCCAAAAAGCCGGUCUCAGUUCGGAUUGAGGUCUGCAACUCGACCUCAUGAAGUUGGAGUUGCUAGUAAUCGUAGAUCAGCAUCGCUACGGUGAAUACGUUCCCGGGGCUUGUACACACCGCCCGUCACGUCACGAAAGUCGGUAACACCC